rnacentral:rRNA from 1 species
ACCAAGAAAAGAAUUUUUUAUACUUAUAAAAUGAAGUUUACUUUUUAGUAAGAAGGCUAAAAUAAAACUUAAAGACGAGAAGACCCUAUAAAACUUUAAUAUUAUAAUUUUAUUAAGAGAGAAGAUAGUAUUUUGCUGGGGCGGCAGAGGAAUUGACUUUUUCUAAGAAGAAAGGAAAACCUAGAUAACCAGAAUUUUUGAAAAAGGAAUAAGUUACUUUAGGGAUAACAGCUUUAUUUACUUUGAAAGUUCUAAUUGACAAGUAAGUUUGAGACCUCGAUGUUGAAUUAAAAUUCCUUUGUUUGUGUAAAAGUUUCAAAAGGGGGUCUGUUCGACCUUUGAAUUUUUCCA